UACAGAGGGUGCGAGCGUUAAUCGGAGUAACUGGGCGUAAAGGGCGCGUAGGCGGUGAGAUGUGUGUGAUGUGAAAGCCCCGGGCUUAACCUGGGAAGUGCAUCGCAAACUAUCUGACUAGAGUAUAUGAGAGGGUGGUGGAAUUUCCGGUGUAGCGGUGAAAUGCGUAGAGAUCGGAAGGAACGUCAAUGGCGAAGGCAGCCACCUGGCAUAAUACUGACGCUGAGGCGCGAAAGCGUGGGGAGCGAACAGG
rnacentral:rRNA from 1 species